CUGUAGUGGACUCGACAUGUCACAGCCUGACGGGCAUGUACAGACAGGUGAACGACUGCCACGUGUAUAUCCGCAAAGGAGAAAGGUGGGCCAUAUCGGCAAAGGGAGCGACUCGCGUCCGUUCACGCCGACCCAUUAGUCAAUUUGCAUGGGGGCCGAACGCUUUUUAUACUUUGGUCGCCGAGACAACAACAAAAAUAAAUUGUGUGGACAUUUUUAACUUUCUAAAGUUCCAAAAACGAAUCGAAGUAACAAUCAGUAAAUCAAUGAAUUGUUUCCAAAUCGAAAUUUUUCUGGUCCUCAUUUGCAUACCUGUUUUUUUUGUGUGUGUGUGUGUUUUGGAUCUCGUUGUACAGGACAUUGGACCGGUGAAUAAAUUAAAUUUAAAAAAAUUAAAUCAACGUUUCACAUCGGUUAGAUCGUCCAAUUGAUGCUAGGUAAAAGCCCUCAGGCUAUAAAGAUGCUUGAAUACCUUUUAGAUGUAUUUCUGUUUUCAUUUCCUUUUGAUUGCAAAAAAUAGUCAUACACAACAGACGAUGUUGAGAGGCAAAAUAUUUCAAUCUGAGCGGGGGACAUCCGACAUGUUGUCUAAAACAAUUUCAAUCGUUUAUAGAAGAAAAAAAAAUGAAUCAUCUGCAAAAGAAUGAAGGAAUUCAAA
rnacentral:lncRNA from 1 species